GAGAAGAACGCAGCGAAAUGCGAUAAGUAAUGUGAAUUGCAGAAUUCAGUGAAUCAUCGAAUCUUUGAACGCACAUUGCGCCCCUUGGUAUUCCGAGGGGCAUGCCUGUUCGAGCGUCAUAUUAACCACUCCCGCUUGCGGGGUCUUGGGCUUCGCCUCCGGGCGGGCCUUAAAAUCAGUGGCGGUGCCGUCGGGCUCUACGCGUAGUAAAUUUUCUCGCGAUAGGGUCCCGGUGGAUGCUUGCCAACAACCCCCAACUUCUUAAGGUUGACCUCGGAUCAGGUAGGGAUACCCGCUGAACUUAAGCAUAUCAAUAAGCGGAGGA
rnacentral:misc_RNA from 1 species